UCGAACCAAUUUUUUUUUUUUUUCUCGUUUUCGUCCGUCCCUCGUCGAGGCCUUGUUGCCAAACCUAUGUAGCUUAAUUCACUUACUUUUUGAAUGAAGCGAGUAGCACGCUACCUUUCUCUCAAAAAAAACUUCAAAAAAUAGAGAAAUCUAUUUUUUUUUUCAAUUCUAAUUAACAUAGCUUUUCCACCUAUUCUUU
rnacentral:lncRNA from 1 species